UCUCUCCUGGGACUGUUUGCCUGGGGUCAAGGAUAAGACAAGCCCAUCAAAUAUCAAAGGGAUCAGAGAGGGAGGGGGGUAAAGGUUGUAAAAAUAGCUAUUUACUGACUUGGGAAAGCAUAUUGCACUGAUACAUAAUAUGCAUUCAAUCUUCCAGCCAUAGUCUGUGAUCGAUACACACACACACCUGCUCGCACAGGCACACACAAACUCACCCACGUGCACGGAUACGACCACACAAGUGUUGUCAUCCUUGAAACAAUAAUCUGACUUUCUCAGGUCUGAUAGCAUUUCCGACAUCCGUCUCAGCUUCCAGCCUGCAACCCCUAACUCAAUCACUCUGCUCCACUCUGCUUCUCUCUCCUCCAUCCCUCCAUCCCUGAAUGAAGUUGCUGCUGGAUAUCUUGACCAGUAACUGCAAACCUUUAAUGUCUGAAAGGAAGCUUCCAGAGUUCCGGCGUACAGCUCCCAUUCUCUAUGGGUGAAGAGAACUGAGUGAGGUGUAUCUCUACGUGUGAACAGGAGGUGGAUGUUUCUGCUGUGUUUCAACUAUUCUGUUUCCUCUGGUCUCCAGGGACAGCCACAAAGACAUGCCUCAGGCCCGCUGCCUGGUGUCUUCUCCAGGGUGGGAGGGGGUUUGCUUGUGGCGCCAUCAUCUCCACCCCUCCCUGUCAUCCACAGGAGCUGCAGGUUGUAAUUACAAAGCAUGGGGGCACAGUGACAGCCACGCAUGGAUGAGAACAGUUAGGGGGCUAUUUACAUGCCCGCUAGGGUGAACAUGCAGAGGAAUGAUAACAAACAUCCGUGGUUUAAAAUUCUAGCUAGAUAGGUGGACAGAAAGGUAGACAGGCAGGCAGGCAAACAGACAAACAGUAAAACUCCCAUAUGGUCGUUUGAUCCUUCGGAGCUGAAUCUCUAACAUCAGAGCUACUGCACUGGCAUUGAUGCCACCCCUCCCCCUCUCCUCCUCCCCCUCUCAUCCUCCUCUCUUCUCAUACCCUCCCCCUCUCCUCUCCUCCUUUGGGGGUUGGAACAGGAGGAGCAUUAACAGCUGGAGGAGAACAUAAGAAGAAAACCCCCCACA